CGGGACGUGGCGCAGUCUGGUAGCGUACUCGACUGGGGGUCGAGUGGUCGGAGGUUCAAAUCCUCUCGUCCCGACCA
rnacentral:tRNA from 2 species